CUGACGCAGCAUGCCGCGUGAUGAGAGGGCCUUCGGGUUGUAAAGUUCUUUCGGUGACGAGGAAGGCGUGAUGUUUAAUAGGCAUCACGAUUGACGUUAAUCACAGAAGAAGCACCGGCUAACUCCGUGCCAGCAGCCGCGGUAAUACGGAGGGUGCGAGCGUUAAUCGGAAUAACUGGGCGUAAAGGGCACGCAGGCGGCUAUUUAAGUGAGGUGUGAAAUCCCCGGGCUUAACCUGGGAAUUGCAUUUCAGACUGGGUAGCUAGAGUACUUUAGGGAGGGGUAGAAUUCCACGUGUAGCGGUGAAAUGCGUAGAGAUGUGGAGGAAUACCGAAGGCGAAGGCAGCCCCUUGGGAAUGUACUGACGCUCAUGUGCGAAAGCGUGGGGAGCAAACA
rnacentral:rRNA from 1 species